AGCACAGAGGAGCUUGCUCCUUGGGUGGCGAGUGGCGGACGGGUGAGGAAUGCAUCGGAAUCUGCCUAUUUGUGGGGGAUAACGUAGGGAAACUUACGCUAAUACCGCAUACGUCCUACGGGAGAAAGUGGGGGACCUUCGGGCCUCACGCAGAUAGAUGAGCCGAUGCCGGAUUAGCUAGUUGGCGGGGUAAAGGCCCACCAAGGCGACGAUCCGUAGCUGGUCUGAGAGGAUGAUCAGCCACACUGGAACUGAGACACGGUCCAGACUCCUACGGGAGGCAGCAGUGGGGAAUAUUGGACAAUGGGCGCAAGCCUGAUCCAGCCAUGCCGCGUGUGUGAAGAAGGCCUUCGGGUUGUAAAGCACUUUUGUCCGGAAAGAAAAGCGCUCGAUUAAUACUCGGGUGUUAUGACGGUACCGGAAGAAUAAGCACCGGCUAACUUCGUGCCAGCAGCCGCGGUAAUACGAAGGGUGCAAGCGUUACUCGGAAUUACUGGGCGUAAAGCGUGCGUAGGUGGUUUGUUAAGUCUGAUGUGAAAGCCCUGGGCUCAACCUGGGAACUGCAUUGGAAACUGGCU
rnacentral:rRNA from 1 species